rnacentral:misc_RNA from 1 species
CCGAGCGAGGGCCCCGGCCCGACCUCCAACCCACUGAAGUUACCAACCCUGUUGCCUCGGGGGUGACCCGGCCCCCGCGUCGGGGCCCCCGGAGGACCACAGCACUCUGCGUCUCUGCGUCGGAGUUUUGAGGGAAAUGUCAAUUA